GACGGGGGGGCAAGUGUUCUUCGGAAUGACUGGGCGGUAAAGGGCACGGUAGGCGGUGAAUCGGGUUGAAAGUGAAAGUCGCCAAAAAGUGGCGGAAUGCUCUCGAAACCAAUUCACUUGAGUGAGACAGAGGAGAGUGGAAUUUCGUGUGUAGGGGUGAAAUCCGUAGAUCUACGAAGGAACGCCAAAAGCGAAGGCAGCUCUCAUGGGUCCCCUACCGACGCUGGGGUGCGAAAGCAUGGGGAGCGAACAGG
rnacentral:rRNA from 1 species